UACGGAGGGUGCAAGCGUUAUUCGGAAUUAUUGGGCGUAAAGGGCGCGUAGGCGGCUUCUUAAGUCAGAUGUGAAAGCCCGGGGCUUAACCCCGGAAGUGCAUUUGAAACUAAGUGGCUUGAGUAUGGGAGAGGGAAGUGGAAUUCCUGGUGUAGAGGUGAAAUUCGUAGAUAUCAGGAGGAACACCGGUGGCGAAGGCGACUUCCUGGACCAAUACUGACGCUGAGGCGCGAAGGCGUGGGGAGCAAACAGG
rnacentral:rRNA from 1 species